rnacentral:snRNA from 1 species
CCUGCGGUAUACCGCGGG